rnacentral:rRNA from 1 species
CCCGACUCCGUGAAGCUGGAUUCGCUAGUAAUCGCGCAUCAGCCAUGGCGCGGUGAAUACGUUCCCGGGGCCUUGUACACACCGCCCGUCAAGCCAUGGGAGCCGGGGGUGCUUGAAGUGCGUCGCCGCAAGGCGCGCCCUAGAGCAAAACCGGUGACUGGGGCUAAGUCGUAACAAGGUAAC